rnacentral:rRNA from 1 species
AUGGUAGUGGCAGUCAUUGUAUGUGGUGGUGCGGUUGCUGAUGUACAGGAGGCGUCCAUGGUGUCAGUUCUCCAUCGUCCAUGCUUAUCUUCUGUAUGCUCUAGCAGCCAGGUGGCUCAAGAAAUAGAAGACGCUCAUGUUCAUUUGGUCCCUCAUCGCCGGGAGGACGGGCGAGGAGGUCGAGGCCCACUGGGGUUCACGAGGAGGCGCACGGGCGGCAAUCACUACAACCAUCAUGUGCUACUGCAGGCUUUCCUAGCCUCGUCACAUGAUCAACACGGCGAGCAUCGGCAAAGGGCAGUGCCAAACCAAGUACGCGAGGAGCGCCCGGGCCGUCCUUCACCCUCCAACAAUGGCGACAACGACUGUGCGUCAUGGGACGAACAUGGAGCUCACCCUCUCUACGCCGUGCAUCACAUCUACUUAAUUUGGAGGGUUACACCGGGUGUUUAUAUACUUCGGUCGAUGGUUUCCGUGCCUUGA